CCUAGGGGAGGCAGCAGUGGGGAAUUUUGCGCAAGCGGGGAAACCUAUUCGCAGCAAGGCGGCGUGAGUGAAGAAGGCCUUCGGGUGGAAAAGGUAAGUCAUGGGGAAGAACUCUCGCCUUAAGGGGCGGGCGAUAUGACGCACGCNCGGACNANCCCCCGUUCC
rnacentral:rRNA from 1 species